CUAGGAGAAGAAUUUUUCUGUAGUGACACCUUGAUUAGCAACCGAAAAUGCCGGAAGGAUCAGAACUAGAGCAAGAAAAUAUGGAACAAGUAGAUAAGGAGGUGAUGAUAUAUGCAUUACGAUCCACGCUGGAAAAUGCAGAAGAUGGGACCAUCAGGAAAGAAGAAUAUCACUUUAAGUUAGUGACUAAGGAUUUUGGGCAA